UCCUGCUUGCGGCGAGGAAUCUUGGAAGCCAGUGGGUCCAAGCUGGUCAGGGAAGCGCCUUGCACUGGGGCAUCAGGUUUGAGAUGCUGACUCUUGGCUAUAAGGACAGUAGACCUGACCUGAGUGAGUAAUGAAUGAUUGUGUCUCUGUGUAUCUGAGAGAGAGAAGGAGAGACAAUGAAGGAGAAUAUUAAUGUAAGAGGAAGUGACACAGAGGCACACACACAGAGAAAAGGCUACUCAAGGACACAGCAAGAAGGCAGCCAUCUGCAAGCCAGGAUGAGAGGUCUUCUAGAAACCCAUCCUGUCAGCACCUUGAUCUUGCUUGACUUCUAGACUCCAGAAUAGGGGAUGAGCAUUCCAGGCAGUGAGAAGCACAGUGCAAAACAUCCUGAAGUGAGAAUUUGGUGGUUUUGUGGAACAACAAAGAGGCCCAAGUGUGACUAUUGCCAAAUGUGACUCCCAUACCCAAACAAAUGGAAUAUGUUAACUACUUGAUGACCACGAGCACACAGGCCCAGGCCUCCUAGUACUUCUGACUGAUAAUGUUAGCACCUGUGACAUCAUCCUGUUACCUCACCUUCAGCCAGUCAAAGAAUUGUGUUUGAGCUGAUCACAUACCCUGCAACCUCCCUCCCUCACCUGGGUUUUAAAUAUGCUUUACCAAAACGAUUAGGGGAGCUUGUGGCUUUUUAGAGGAUGAGCCACCCAUC